UACUACGACGGCACGAGCAUUUUGUAAUGUUUUUCAACGAUUCGAAAACAAAUUUAAAUGUCAAGGUUAAUUACCGGAAAUCAAUUGCAUUUCAGAGGACCACACCUUACGAAAAUAUUGCAAUCAGAAUUGCGUCAUAAGCUUUUUUAUGUAGUUAUUCAGAUAAUCGUUUAUUGCACAUUGCCUGAUCCAAAUUAAUAAUAAAACACAAUUUCAUUUACAUUUGAUGGCUUCUUUUGUUUAGCAAUUUGAAUUAGAUUUACUGCUAAGCAGUUCCUUUUUUAUACAAUCAUUAUGAAGAAUUUUCAUAUAUCUCUAAAAUUGCUUUAAAAUCGAAAAAGGGCAAACCCAAUGUUGGUCCAUAGAAUCCGUAACAAAAUGCUACAAAAUUAAAUGUAUUAAGAAAAUUCAGAUAUUCAUCCUAAAAUCACAAUUAAAAAUAUAUUUUUUUUAAAAUCCUGAAUUUUUAUUUGUAUCUCCCACACUGGACGACCCCUUCCAUACAAUUCAAAACCCUGUCCUCUAGCGUCAAACGCUGCAAGCUCUUCUCUAGCCGAUCCACAAACCCUCACACCGGAGAUUCCAACCUCACCUCUUCAGUGUCUUAUCACCCUCUCUUCCAUUCCACAGUGUUCACCCCCCAUGCCAAGCGGCAUAACCAAAGAAGGCCUUGGCUGUGUGUAGUCGUGACAACCCAGCCCAGCCAGUCAGCCAUUUCAUCCCGGGGCCGUUCGUUCUCUUCGCCGGGCCAGCCAUGAUCGUAGUGCGCCGUGCUGUGCGGCGUUCGGUCUUUUCUACCAACCAUGAUGGAAAACGGGCGUGUACACCAGCAGCGCCUGCUACGACCACUACCAACGCAAACGAAGCUGUGUACGGACACGCGGCGUGUACGGACGACUAGAAAAAGUCCGCAUUAAUUAUUGAGCACCUUCGGUGCUGGUGUUGGUGCGUCGUUUUGGAACCGGUCCCUAGCUGGAGGAGCCAUGCGCACUGCUGCUCAGUGCUGGUAUCGAUUUGGGCCCGGAACUUGUUCCUGCGUUCGCUGCUGCGUAUAUACAGUGUGUUUGUGUUUGUAUCAUUUUUUGAACUCCAGCCCAAAAAGAAGAAAAGUUUUAUUAGCGUAAUUUGCAUAACAAUUGCUUUUCUCCAAACUGAGGGAAGAGUCCCCCCUUCGAAAAUGCCUCCCCCUGCCCCACCAGUGAAGGUCGUUUUUAGAGCGUCGUCACCAAUCUCCCCGCCCGAAAAUCAUCGUCAUCGUCGUCUUGGCACCCACUGGCGCAAUAUCAUUUGGGUGGGAUCUUCUGAUCAAAAUUAGAAGAUUACGGCGGCGGGGCUUUCCGGGCUCGCAGGCUCCAUCAGAAAUAAAUUAUUCAACGUUUGGCCGGGGCCUUCUGAACCGCUUCCGGGGAGGACUUCUUUACCAAAAUGAGAAAAUAUCGAUCCGGAAAAUCCAACCCCUCCCUCCGAGCCCACCCUCCGGUAGUGUGGUUAAAAGGAAAAUUGUGUAAUCCAGCUCGUCGUAAAUUUCAAUAAAGAUCAUAAAUUACCCUUUGAAUUGAGGCUCUUGGGGACCGGCCGGCCAGCAAACAUAUGAGGCAAAAUUUUCCGAAAUAAAGUAAUACACGUUCGCAUAUAUGAA